ACAACACGCCCGAGUAGUCUCACCAUUGCAGUCACCACUUUCACCUGAGGAAAGACAAGAGGCCGCGAGUUCUCACUCCACAAGACCAACAUGACAACAACACAUCAGUUAAUGGCCGCCGCCUUCUACCUGUGCGGGCUUUUGUUUCUUUACCACGUCGAUAGUGUGAACGGCUUGAAAUGCAAGGAUUGUGACUUUGAUAACCCUGACUGUAAUUCUGGCAACGUGCCAGAAUGUUGAGUGCGGACCCAACGAACUCUGCGGCGUUUUUAGACAGUUCACAAAAGGAGUACCGGACAGUGAUCAGACAUUACGUGGCUGCUCAGACAAAGAAGAAAAUUUCAACUGCACUGAAUAUCCGGAUUCUGAAAUCCAGUGUGUGCUCAUUUGCGCAACAGAAAACUGUAACAGCGCAUCCAAUCUUGGUGAAGAAUGAGAGAAGAACUGCCUUUACCUUGAUCAUUUUGUCAGAAUACGCCACAGACAUAAAAAACUAUGAGUUUAGUAUUUUUAUUUUAUAAUAGGAAAUUAGUCUUCAAUACAAUUUUAUCCAAAUAACGCAACAAAAUAAACCAUGUAAUCACACUUAAA